rnacentral:rRNA from 1 species
UACGGAGGAUGCAAGCGUUAUCCGGAAUGAUUGGGCGUAAAGCGUCCGUAGGUGGCUGUGUGUGUCUAUUGUUAAAGAGUUUGGCUCAACCAAAUAAGGGCGGUAGAAACUACACAGCUAGAGUGCGUUCGGGGCAGAGGGAAUUCCUGGUGUAGCGGUGAAAUGCGUAGAGAUCAGGAAGAACACCGGUGGCGAAAGCGCUCUGCUAGGCCGCAACUGACACUGAGGGACGAAAGCUAGGGGAGCGAAUGGG